rnacentral:rRNA from 1 species
AACGAACGCUGGCGGCGUGCCUAACACAUGCAAGUCGAACGGGAUUCGGAGCUUGCUCCUGGUGGCGAGUGGCGAACGGGUGAGUAAUACAUCGGAACGUACCCAGGAGUGGGGGAUAACGUAGCGAAAGUUACGCUAAUACCGCAUAUUCUGUGAGCAGGAAAGCGGGGGAUCGCAAGACCUCGCGCUCUUGGAGCGGCCGAUGUCGGAUUAGCUAGUUGGUGAGGUAAAAGCUCACCAAGGCGACGAUCCGUAGCAGGUCUGAGAGGAUGAUCUGCCACGCUGGGACUGAGACACGGCCCAGACUCCUACGGGAGGCAGCAGUGGGGAAUUUUGGACAAUGGGGGCAACCCUGAUCCAGCCAUGCCGCGUGAGUGAAGAAGGCCUUCGGGUUGUAAAGCUCUUUCGGCGGGGAAGAAAUGGCAACGGCUAAUAUCCGUUGUUGAUGACGGUACCCGCAUAAGAAGCACCGGCUAACUACGUGCCAGCAGCCGCAGUAAAAC